GAACAAAAUGACGUGUACCUGAAGAAUAAGCAUCGGCUAACUCCGUGCCAGCAGCCGCGGUAAGACGGGGGAUGCAAGUGUUAUCCGGAAUCACUGGGCGUAAAGCGUCUGUAGGUGGUUUAAUAAGUCAACUGUUAAAUCUUGAGGCUUAACCUCA
rnacentral:rRNA from 1 species